rnacentral:lncRNA from 1 species
GAGCUUUAAUAUUACUCAUGGAUUGAACCUGUUGCAUUCAUAUAGCUAAUGCUUUAAGAUUGUGCAUUCAUGUAGUAAUGCAUUUAAAAAUGAGCCUAACUUGCAAAUGUACUGAUAUAAGCUUUGCAUUUAGAGAACUGUAUAGAACUUGCAUUGUCAUUGUUAGAAAUUGAAAUCUGCUUGUCUUGACUCAGUCUAGUUCUGAUUGUUGCUAUGCCAUAGUUAAAUCCAUCAGUGAUGUCUUAUAAGCAUUUAGAAGUAUGUCUAAGCUACUUGAAUCAUUGGCCUUGAUAAAACUAGUGAGCAUAAGCAUGAAUUGAGUCACUCUUGUCGCCUUAAUUGCAGAAGUAUCAUCUAGACUUGUAUUCCAUGUUGGAUUGAAUCUGUUUCAUUCAUAUAGUUAGUGUAACCUAAUGCAUUCAUCUAUUGUUGCAUUUAAAAAAAAAAAAAAAAACUGAAUUGAUUGUCUAGCUUGUUUCAAGUAUCAUAUAUUAUUGUGGCAUUGGUGAUCAAACAGGAUGGAUGAUCUUGGUUUGAUCCCAAUGGGAUGAUCUGAUCUUGCAUUGAGUUUUGGUUGUGUUAGGUACACAAGGGAAGUGAUACAUGUAACUCGCCAUCAACCAAGAAUGUAGAGACAAAGGUCUUGUGCCAUUGCAUAUCAUCACUAGGACAUGUUAGUCCAUAAUCUACAGGAAGUGUAGUGUGAUUGAGUAUGCAAUGAGAGAUAGCCAUUGCAUAAUACCAUUGGACAUAUCUAGUCCUUAGUCUACAGGAAGUGUAGCAUGGGUCAUUAUGCAAUGAGAGGUGUGUCUUGUGAGACUCUCUAUGGUGAUUCAAACACCCUAGUUCCUGGUUAAGGAAGAGAGUAAACUCACAAGAAGAAAGCUAUCAUGAAAGAUGAUAGUUAUUAGACCAUGG